rnacentral:rRNA from 1 species
AAUCAACGGAGGCGGCGUGCCUAACACAUGCAAGUCGAACGAGAAAGUGGACCAAUCCAUGAGUAAAGUGGCGACCGGGUGAGUAACACGUGACUAACCUACCCUGAAGUGGGGAAUAMCCUCGGGAAACCGGGGCUACURCCGCAUAACAUCGCGAGCUGUAAACGCUUGUGAUCAAAGGAGCAAUUCGCUUUAGGAGGGGGUCGCGGCUGAUUAGUUAGUUGGUGAGGUAACGGCUCACCAAGACAAAGAUCAGUAUCCGGCCUGAGAGGGCGCACGGACACACUGGAACUGAAACACGGUCCAGACUCCUACGGGAGGCAGCAGUGGGGAAUUUUGCGCAAUGGGGGAAACCCUGACGCAGCAACGCCGCGUGGAGGAUGAAGUCCCUUGGGAUGUAAACUCCUUUCGAUCGGGACGAUUAUGACGGUACCGGA